GAAAUGCGAUAAGUAGUGUGAAUUGCAGAAUUCAGUGAAUCAUCGAAUCUUUGAACGCACAUUGCGCCCCAUGGUAUUCCGUGGGGCAUGCCUGUUCGAGCGUCAUUUACCCCCUCAAGCUCCGCUUUGUGUUGGGCGUUUGUCCCGCUUCGCGCGCGGACUCGCCCCAAAGGUAUUGGCAGCGGUCGUGCCAGCUUCUCGCGCAGCACAUUGCGCCACAAGCACACUGAAUCUGGCCCCCAGAAGCCCCUUCUAAGUUUGACCUCGGAUCAGGUAGGGAUACCCGCUGAACUUAA
rnacentral:misc_RNA from 1 species